rnacentral:rRNA from 1 species
UACGAAGGGGGCAAGCGUUGUUCGGAAUGACUGGGCGUAAAGGGCGCGUAGGCGGUUCGUUGCGUCAGAUGUGAAAGCCCCGGGCUCAACCUGGGAACUGCAUUUGAUACGGGCGAGCUUGAAUCCAAGAGAGGGUGGUGGAAUUCCCAGUGUAGAGGUGAAAUUCGUAGAUAUUGGGAAGAACACCAGUGGCGAAGGCGGCUAACUGGUCCGGUACUGACGCUGAGGUGCGAAAGCGUGGGGAGCAAACAGG